GCACACGUAGCCCAAUUGGAAGCAGGCAAUGGACUAAGAAUCCAUUCAGUGCAGGUUCAAAUCCUGUCGUGUGCA
rnacentral:tRNA from 1 species